UCCCUGGUGGCUCAGAUGGUAAAGCAUCUGCCUACAAUGCAGGAGACCUGGGUUCGAUCCCUGGGUGGGGAA
rfam:Ovis aries breed Texel chromosome 5, whole genome shotgun sequence.